rnacentral:rRNA from 1 species
UAGGGGUGCGGGGUCUCUGGGUCACCUCCCAUCCGUGUCUAUCUGUACCCUGUUGCUUCGGCGUGGCCACGGCCCGCCGGAGACUAACAUUUGAACGCUGUCUGAAGUUUGCAGUCUGAGUUUUUAGUUAAACAAUCGUUAAAACUUUCAACAACGGAUCUCUUGGUUCCGGCAUCGAUGAAGAACGCAGCGAAAUGCGAUAAUUAAUGUGAAUUGCAGAAUUCAGUGAAUCAUCGAGUCUUUGAACGCACAUUGCGCCCCCUGGUAUUCCGGGGGGCAUGCCUGUCCGAGCGUCAUUGCUGCCCUCAAGCACGGCUUGUGUGUUGGGCUUCCGUCCCUGGCAACGGGGACGGGCCCAAAAGGCAGUGGCGGCACCAUGUCUGGUCCUCGAGCGUAUGGGGCUUUGUCACCCGCUCCCGUAGGUCCAGCUGGCAGCUAGCCUCGCAACCAAUCUUUUUAACCAGGUUGACCUCGGAUCAGGUAGGGAUACCCGCUGAACUUAAGCAUAUCAAUAAGCCGGAGGAA